rnacentral:rRNA from 1 species
AUGCUUGGUGCUGUUUCGCCGUACCACGCAGAGCAUAGCUGCUGCCAUGGAUCCAAACCUUACUCUGACAGAGAGGAACCGCGCCAGCCGAGAGCAAGCCUUGAUUGCCAGUUACAGAGAGAGACUAAGGAGAGAGCUCAGGAUUCCAUGUCGAGGGAGAGACAAUCAGCAGAAGUUGAUGACGAGGAUUCUGGUGGCUGCAAUGGAGGAGGAAUUCAAACUGCAGCUAAAUGGAAGAAGCAGAUCAGCGGAAGAGGUGAUCUUCUGGGCGCUCUCCAUGAGAUCAGUGACGGGUCUGUAUCAGAGGGCUCGGUGGAUAGCCUUCUGGGAGAUCCAACCUUGGAUGCCUCAAAUGUGAGGUUUGCCGACACCCCUGAAGAGAAGCUCGCCGAAGAUAGUGUCGUGAGGCCACCAAAUCCCCUGCAACUCGUGUUCAGCGGCUGUAAUGGAUUAAGUUUCGUGUAG